GAUGAAGAACGUAGCGAAAUGCGAUACGUAAUGUGAAUUGCAGAAUUCAGUGAAUCAUCGAAUCUUUGAACGCAUAUUGCGCUCUUUGGUAUUCCGAAGAGCAUGCUUGUUUGAGUAUCAGUAAACACCUCAACCUCUUCUUGAUUUUUCAAAAGGAGGGUGGACUUGAGCUAUCCCAACAACCUUUACCGGUCGGCGGGCGGCUUGAAAUGCAGGUGCAGCUGGACUUUUAUCUGAGCUAAAAGCAUAUCUAUUUAGUCCUCGUCAAACAGGAUUAUUACUUUUGCUGCAGCUAACAUAAAGGAUAAUUGUCCUCUUUGCUGACUGAUGCAGGAUUUUACGACACUUUAUGUGUUGUUCAACUCGAUCUCAAAUCAAGUAAGACUACCCGCUGAACUUAAGCAUAACAAUAAGCGGAGGA
rnacentral:misc_RNA from 1 species